GAUGAACGCUGGCGGCGUGCCUAAUACAUGCAAGUCGAGCGAACAGACGAGGAGCUUGCUCCUCUGACGUUAGCGGCGGACGGGUGAGUAACACGUGGAUAACCUACCUAUAAGACUGGGAUAACUUCGGGAAACCGGAGCUAAUACCGGAUAAUAUAUUGAACCGCAUGGUUCAAUAGUGAAAGACGGUUUUGCUGUCACUUAUAGAUGGAUCCGCGCCGCAUUAGCUAGUUGGUAAGGUAACGGCUUACCAAGGCAACGAUGCGUAGCCGACCUGAGAGGGUGAUCAGCCACACUGGAACUGAGAAACGGUCCAGACUCCUACGGGAGGCAGCAGUGGGGAAUAUUGCCCAAUGGGGGAAAGCCUGAUCGAGCCAUACCGCGUGGGGGAAGAAGGUCUUCGGGUUGUAAAACCCUUUUUUUUGGGAAGAAAAGAAGGUGGAUAAUACCAGGCUGUUCUGAGGGUACCCAAAGAAAAAGCCCAGGCUAACUUAGUG
rnacentral:rRNA from 1 species